AUGAACGCUGGCGGCGUGCCUAAUACAUGCAAGUCGAGCGAACAGACGAGGAGCUUGCUCCCCUGACGUUAGCGGCGGACGGGUGAGUAACACGUGGAUAACCUACCUAUAAGACUGGGAUAACUUCGGGAAACCGGAGCUAAUACCGGAUAAUAUAUUGAACCGCAUGGUUUAAUAGUGAAAGACGGUUUUGCUGUCACUUAUAGAUGGGUCCGCGCCGCAUUAGCUAGUUGGUAAGGUAACGGCUUACCAAGGCAACGAUGCGUAGCCGACCUGAGAGGGUGAUCGGCCACACUGGAACUACGACACGGUCCAGACUCCUACGGGAGGCAGCAGUAGGGAAUCUUCCGCAAUGGGCGAAAGCCUGACGGAGCAACGCCGCGUGAGUGAUGAAGGUCUUCGGAUCGUAAAACUCUGUUAUUAGGGAAGAACAAAUGUGUAAGUAACUAUGCACGUCUUGACGGUACCUAAUCAGAAAGCCACGGCUAACUACGUG
rnacentral:rRNA from 1 species